CUUUUUAAAUACAUUAGUUUGUUUAAGAUUUUGUAUGUGUGUGCUCCUGCUUUACAUAAAGAAAAUAAGGUCUUCAUUAUUUUCCUUGUUGAUGUCUUUUGCUGGAAAAGACCAAGAAAGAGCCAUCAGACAGGGUACCAUAUGAAAGGCUUUACACUCCAGCGGUGGUUCUCUUUAAUUGCUUAGAUAUGACUUCAUCACCCCUACGGGGGGUAGCAUCUGAGCAAACAGUUGAAUAUCUUGGUCUUCCAUUUUAAGGAUGCAAGGCCAAGGUCAACGUUUGUGUUUCGUAAAAUUCAUGAAAUUGUAACUUGAACUAACUCUGGGUUCAGCUUCACGUAAGUCAUGUCUACCCUGAUGUUAGCUGUAAUCAGUUGUGAGCUUUAAGAAUAGUUGCUGUUGCUUGAGUUCUGAAUGUAUGAGAAAACCUUGCUGUUUAUAUGUAGCUCCAAUUUAGGUUAUUUUAAAUCCAUGAUUAACUUACAUUCCCUUUUAAAAUUAUGGUGUAUUUGCUGCAAGAGAUUUAUUUUUGUUAUACUAAACUAUGGAAUUUUUUUCAUAGAAUUUUUUUCAAGUUUAUUUUUUGUGUGCUUCAUUUGGAACCAUUUUUGUUUAUAUACCUUGUAUACAUAAAAUAGUUGUUUUUUAAAAAACUCAGUAAGAUUUGAAAACUAUACAGUUAAAACUGUUACAAUCUUUGUGUGUGUUACUUUCAUUUUACAUUUUAAAUGCCAGAUUUCACAAAAAAUAGCAGAUCUGUGUUAAUGUCAUCUUAAUUAGUAAUUAGUACUGUUUGUUCUCUUCCAUGUCUUUGACCUAAGUUUGGUUUUAAAGAAAAUCCUUGCACUACAGCCUUUUCAGAAUGCAAGAUUCUCACAUUGAAGGUUUUUGUAUUAGAAAAAAUGCUACUGGUUUUAAAAGCAAAGCUUAAUUAAUAGAAUGAUUAGCUUUUCUUGAGACAGCUUUUUCUGUGUCCUCCUCCCUCGUCGCUGUGCCCUGCGUGCGCGUUACUCUAGUUGUGAAAUACUGACUGAGCCCUUCGCUUACCUUUUCUAGAGCAGCACCUUCGGACACCUCAUUCUGGGAAGCCUGCUUGCGUCAUAGUAAAGGACACAUAUUUGUGUGGGGAGAAGUGGUAAACAUGGAGAGUUUUGUCUUAAUUACAUGAAACUAAGCUUUAAAAUAUUUUAUAACAAAUUAUUUGAGCUGCAUAAUCUAAACAUGUCAGACGUUCAGUGGGACUAUUUUUAUAUAUGUAUAUGUGGGUGUAGGUCAUAACAUUUCAGUUUAUAAUAUAAAUUGUUCUUUCAGUUUAUAAGCUAUCUCUCAGAAGAGACUAGCUCUUUUGAGAAUACGUAAUUUAAAGUUUUAGACUGAAGUAAAACAGCAUAGAUAUAGUGUAAAUUAGAUAUAAUUGAGGGCUAUAUGGCAGUAAAACUGCUAGUGCCAGUUUUCUUGUUUGCCUACUACACAUUUUUGAUUUUUUUAUUCUGAACAUUUUUAGAGAUCAUACAUUUGUUCAGUUGCAUUUAGAGUCGGUUUGGGAAUAAAUAUCUUCUAAAAAGAAAUUUAUCUUAAAAUUAAAAGUCCCUAAAAAUUAGUUUAUUGAGAGUUUAUAAAGUCAAAUAUUCAAUAGGCAUAGACUGGAAUAGAUAAGUUCAUGGAAAUCAUAUCCUGUCAGUAUAGAAGUAAACCUUCAAUAUUACAUGAGUAAUGUUGAGAGAAUGCCAUCAGCUUUGUUCCCCCUUGAAGUUCUUGGAUGUUCUUUUUACAUCUUUGGGAACAAGUACAUUGAAGUUUUAUUAAUCAGUAUAUCAGUAAAGAUUGGAUGUUUGCUUUCUGGAGGAAUGUUCCCGAGAGGUGAUCAGAGAGGUUAUUUUCUACCUAACUUGUAUAUGCCCUAUACCUCUUGGGCAUACUUUGUCUAUAGAAAAAUAUUUUGACCUUUAGGUACAUUUUGGGCCAGUAGUCAAAUAAUCCUAGGGCCAAUAUAAAAAUCUUAGAAAAAUUUAAGGUUUGCCUUUUAUAUCUGUUUUGAAAGCCUUUACAUUUUUGUCAGGUAAUUUUUCCCAAGCCGUGGAUAUAAUCAAACAUGUUUAUGCUAUCCAUUCUGUUUUUAAAUUGAAAAAAUGUUAAAAGUGUUUAUGAAGAAAAGUUUAAAUAAAAUAUUUUUAAUCUUUAUUAAA
ensembl:lncRNA